rnacentral:rRNA from 1 species
CCCUUAGAUGUUCUGGGCCGCACGCGCGCUACACUGACGAAUGCAACGAGCUUAUAACCUUGGCCGAAAGGUCUGGGUAAUCUCCAAAUUUCGUCGUGAUGGGGAUAGAUUAUUGCAAUUAUUAAUCUUCAACGAGGAAUGCCUAGUAAGCGCAAGUCAUCAGCUUGCGUUGAUUACGUCCCUGCCCUUUGUACACACCGCCCGUCGCUCCUACCGAUUGAAUGGUCCGGUGAAGCGUUCGGACCGUGGCCUUUGGACUGUUCGCCGUCUGUUGGCUGCGGGAAGUUCGUUAAACCUUAUCAUUUAGAGGAAGGAGAANUCGUAACA